rnacentral:rRNA from 1 species
GGAUGCGAUCAUACCAGCACUAAAGCACCGGAUCCCAUAUCAGAACUCUGAAGUUAAGCAUGCUUGGGCGAGAGUAGUACUAGGAUGGGUGACCUCCUGGGAAGUCCUCGUGUUCCAUUCC